rnacentral:rRNA from 1 species
CAAUAGCGUAUAUUUAAGUUGCUGCAGUUAAAAAGCUCGUAGUUGGAUUUCGGGUGGGAAUGGCCGGUCCGCCGUUUCGGUGUGCACUUGCUACGCCCACCUUGCUGCCGGGGACGUGCUCUUGAGUUCACGCUCGGGACACGGAGUCGGCGAGGUUACUUUGAGUAAAUCAGAGUGUUCAAAGCAGGCCUACGCUCUGAAUACAUUAGCAUGGAAUAACACGAUAGGACUCUGGCCUAUCUUGUUGGUCUGUAGGACCGGAGUAAUGAUUAAGAGGGACAGUCGGGGGCAUUCGUAUUUCAUUGUCAGAGGUGAAAUUCUUGGAUUUAUGAAAGACGAACUACUGCGAAAGCAUUUGCCAAGGAUGUUUUCAUUAA